UACAGAGGUCUCAACCGUUGUUCGGAUUCAUUGGGCGUAAAGGGUGCGUAGGCGGUCGCGCAAGUCGGAUGGGAAAUCUCAGGGCUCAACCCUGAAACUGCAUUCGAUACUGCGUGGCUAGAGUGCUGGAGAGGAGACUGGAAUUUACGGUGUAGCAGUGAAAUGCGUAGAUAUCGUAAGGAAGACCAGUGGCGAAGGCGAGUCUCUGGACAGCAACUGACGCUGAGGCACGAAGGCCAGGGGAGCAAACGGG
rnacentral:rRNA from 1 species